rnacentral:rRNA from 1 species
AACGAACGCUGGCGGCAUGCCUAACACAUGCAAGUCGAACGAGACCUUCGGGUCUAGUGGCGCACGGGUGCGUAACGCGUGGGAACCUGCCCUUAGGUUCGGAAUAACUCCCCGAAAGGGGUGCUAAUACCGGAUAAUGUCUUCGGACCAAAGAUUUAUCGCCUUUGGAUGGGCCCGCGUUGCAUUAGCUAGUUGGUAGGGUAAAAGCCUACCAAGGCGACGAUCCAUAGCUGGUCUGAGAGGAUGAUCAGCCACACUGGGACUGAGACACGGCCCAGACUCCUACGGGAGGCAGCAGUGGGGAAUAUUGGACAAUGGGCGAAAGCCUGAUCCAGCAAUGCCGCGUGAGUGAUGAAGGCCUUAGGGUUGUAAAGCUCUUUUACCCGGGAUGAUAAUGACAGUACCGGGAGAAUAAGCUCCGGCUAACUCCGUG